rnacentral:rRNA from 1 species
GAAUAUCCCGGGCUACACGCGAGCUACAAUGGUUGGUACAAUGGGUAUCUACCCCGAAAGGGGACGGGAAUCUCCUAAAACCAAUCUUAGUUCGGAUUGAGGGCUGCAACUCGCCCUCAUGAAGCUGGAAUCCGUAGUAAUCGCGUUUCAACAGAACGCGGUGAAUACGUCCCUGCUCCUU